rnacentral:rRNA from 1 species
CCUACGGGGUGCAGCAGUGGGGAAUAUUGGGCAAUGGGCGCAAGCCUGACCCAGCAACGCCGCGUGAAGGAAGAAGGCUUUCGGGUUGUAAACCUCUUUUCUCAGGGACGAAGAAAGUGACGGUACCUGAGGAAUAAGCCACGGCUAACUACGUGCCAGCAGCCGCGGUAAUACGUAGGUGGCAAGCGUUAUCCGGAUUUACUGGGUGUAAAGGGCGUGUAGGCGGGAAAGCAAGUCAGAUGUGAAAACCACGGGCUCAACCUGUGGCCUGCAUUUGAAACUGUUUUUCUUGAGUGCUGGAGAGGCAGACGGAAUUCCUAGUGUAGCGGUGAAAUGCGUAGAUAUUAGGAGGAACACCAGUGGCGAAGGCGGUCUGCUGGACAGCAACUGACGCUGAGGCGCGAAAGCGUGGGGAGCAAACAGGAUUAGAUACCCCAGUAGUC